rnacentral:lncRNA from 1 species
GUAAGAGAGUCGGUGAAGGCCUGGUCGAUCGCAGCGGUGAUGAGGGAAGGUAAAGCAGCGACGUAAGCCUCCAAGGAAGCAAGACGGGAUUCCAAGGCAGCGUCGCAAGUAGCAGCGGAUUGGCGGGUGUGCACAUAAGGGAAUCGAGGAAUCGAUAUGGGUGAUACCAUUGUUAGAACCCAAAUCUCAAACCCUAACUCAAACCUUAACUAUUGCACAUAGAAGAGAAGGAAUGAGGAAGAUAGAAGGAGCAGAGCUCCAAUAUUUUUGUAUUGAUUUGUUUUGU